GGUCAAGCUAGAAAGAGCAUACGGCGGAUGCCUAGGUGCUCAGGGCCGACGAAGGACGUGGUAAGCUGCGAAAAGCUACGGGUAGCCGCAAGCAGGCGUAGAUCCGUAGAUCUCCGAAUGGGGCAACCCGGCGGGGGCGAACCCCCGUCACCGCAUACUGAACCCAUAGGUAUGCGGGGGGGCACCCGGCGAACUGAAACAUCUUAGUAGCCGGAGGAAGAGAAAGAAAAAUCGAACCCCCCAGUAGCGGCGAGCGAAAAGGGGCGAGCCUAAACCAGUACUCUUCGGAGUACUGGGGUUGCGGGACUCUCGUAUAAGCAGUUGAGGACUUAGUCGAAGCGGUCUGGAAAGGCCCGCCACAGAAAGUAAAAGCCUUGUAGGCGAAAAGUCUGAGACGCAGGAGAGGAUCCCAAGUACCACGGGACACGUGGAACCCCGUGGGAAUCCGGGGGGACCACCCCCAAGGCUAAAUACCCUGGGCGACCGAUAGUGAACAAGUACCGUGAGGGAAAGGUGAAAAGCACCCCGGGAGGGAGUGAAAGAGGACCUGAAACCGUAUGCUUACAAGCAGUCAGAGCACGAUAGAUGUGUGAUGGCGUACUUUUUGUAGAACGGACCGGCGAGUUACAUCCAGCGGGCGAGGUUAAGCGGGAGACGCGGAGCCGAAGCGAAAGCGAGUCUUAAAAGGGCGCAAGUCCGUUGGAGUAGACCCGAAACCGGGUGAUCUACCCAUGUCCAGAGUGAAGCUUUAGUAAAAUAGAGUGGAGGCUCGAACCGACCGUCGUUGAAAAGGCGGCGGAUGAGGUGUGGGUAGGGGUGAAAUGCCAAUCGAACCCGGAAAUAGCUGGUUCUCCCCGAAAUAGCUUUAGGGCUAGCCUUGGGAAUGAAUACCGGAGGUAGAGCACUGAAUGGGCUAGGGGUCUUCACCGAUUACCGAACCCAAUCAAACUCCGAAUGCCGGAUAUUCGGAUCCCAGGAGUCAGACUAUGGGUGCUAAGAUUCAUAGUCGAGAGGGAAACAGCCCAGACCGCCGGCUAAGGUCCCCAAGACAGGCUAAGUGGAGAAGGAUGUGGAGUUGCCCGGACAACCAGGAUGUUGGCUUAGAAGCAGCCAUCAUUUAAAGAGUGCGUAAUAGCUCACUGGUCAAGUGGCUCUGCGCCGAAAAUGUAACGGGGCUAAGCCUGUCACCGAAGCCGCGGAUUUUGGUGGUUGGUCGUUAGUGGUUAGUGGUUGGGGGAAAGGAAAUGGCAGGAUAUAAGACACUGGAAGUAUAUCAAAGAGCAUAUAAAAUGUCUUUAGAAAUACACCGUGUCACACAAACCUUUCCCAAUUAUGAGAGGCAUGAGUUAGGAAGUCAGAUAAGAAGAUCGGCUGUAUCAGUUGCACUAAAUAUAGCAGAAGGUUAUGGAAGAAAAGACGCAAGAGCCGAAUUCCGACAUUUCCUAAGAACUGCCUUGGGUUCAUGCAAUGAAACCUUAGUAUUGCUAGAGAUAUCAAAAGACCUUGGGUAUCUGACCGAAGAGCAGUACCAAGAGUACAGCCAGGAAUACACAAUCAUAGGCAAGCAAAUCUAUCGACUAAGGGAAGCAUGGACAAAACCCCAACGACCAAUUACUAACGACUAACCACCAAGAUGGUAGGGGAGCGUUGUAUGCGCGCAGAAGCAGUACCGUAAGGAGCUGUGGAGCGCAUACAAGUGAGAAUGCCGGUAUAAGUAAACGCAAAGGCAGGUGAGAAUCCUGCCCGCCGAAAACCUAAGGUUUUCUGGGGAAGGGUCGUCCGCCCAGAGUAAGCCGGGACCUAAGCCGAGGCGAAAAGCGUAGGUGAUGGAGAAUCGGUUGAGAAUCCGAUGCCACUUACAGCCGUUUGAAGGAUGGGGUGACACAGGAGGGUAGGCUAAGCGCGCGGAUGGAAAGGCGCGUCCAAGGUGGUAGGGUGAGAGAUAGGCAAAACCGUCUCUCGAAGAGCCUGAGAACUGAAGGGGAGCGAAAUUAAGUAGCGAAGUAGCCGAACCCAAACUGUCAAGAAAAACCUCUAACGAGGCUAGUAAGUGCCCGUACCGUAAACCGACACAGGUAGGUGGGGUGAGAAUCCUAAGGCGCGCGAGAGAACCCUCGUUAAGGAACUCGGCAAAAUAACCCCGUAACUUCGGGAGAAGGGGUACCCCGGUAGCGUGAAGGGUGAACACUUGGAGCGUGAGGGGGUCGCAGAGAAAAGGCCCAAGCGACUGUUUAGCAAAAACACAGGUCCCUGCUAAAUCGAAAGAUGACGUAUAGGGGCUGACGCCUGCCCGGUGCUGGAAGGUUAAGGGGAGGGGUUAGGGGAGACCCGAAGCUCUGAACCGAAGCCCCAGUAAACGGCGGCCGUAACUAUAACGGUCCUAAGGUAGCGAAAUUCCUUGUCGGGUAAGUUCCGACCCGCACGAAAGGCGUAACGACUUGGGCACUGUCUCAACGAGGGGCUCGGUGAACUUGUAAUGCCGGUGAAGAUGCCGGCUACCUGCGACAGGACAGAAAGACCCCGUGGAGCUUUACUGCAACCUGACAUUGGGUUUUGGUAUUGAAUGUACAGGAUAGGUGGGAGGCAGAGAACCCAGGACGCCAGUUUUGGGGGAGCCGACGUUGGGAUACCACCCUUUGAGUAUUGAAAUUCUAACACAGUUCCGUGGAACCGGGACGUGGACAGUGUCAGGCGGGCAGUUUGACUGGGGCGGUCGCCUCCCAAAAGGUAACGGAGGCGCCCAAAGGUUCCCUCAGCGCGGUUGGAAAUCGCGCGCAUAGAGUGUAAAGGCAGAAGGGAGCUUGACAGCGAGACGUACAGGUCGAGCUGGGACGAAAAAGUCGGGCUUAGUGAUCCGGCGGUAUCGAGUGGAAGAGCCGUCGCUCAACGGAUAAAAGCUACCCCGGGGAUAACAGGCUUAUCUCCCCCAAGAGUCCACAUCGACGGGGAGGUUUGGCACCUCGAUGUCGGCUCAUCGCAUCCUGGGGCUGUAGUAGGUCCCAAGGGUUGGGCUGUUCGCCCAUUAAAGCGGUACGUGAGCUGGGUUCAGAACGUCGUGAGACAGUUCGGUCCCUAUCCGUCGCAGGCGCAGGAAACUUGAGAGGAGCUGUCCCUAGUACGAGAGGACCGGGAUGGACAGACCACUGGUGUACCAGUUAUCGUGCCAACGGUAGCGCUGGGUAAUUAUGUCUGGACGGGAUAAGCGCUGAAAGCAUCUAAGCGCGAAGCCCCCCUCGAGAUGAGGUUUCCCACAGAGUUAAUCUGGUAAGACCCCUGGUAGACUACCAGGUAGAUAGGCCGGGUGUGUAAGCUGGGUAACCAGUUCAGCUGACCGGUACUAAUAGGUCGAGGGCUUGACCUG
rnacentral:rRNA from 1 species